rnacentral:rRNA from 1 species
GAACGCUGGCGGCGUGCCUAAUACAUGCAAGUCGAACGUGAACAGGGGCAACCCUUAGUAAAGUGGCGCACGGGUGAGUAACACGUAGGUCAUCUGCCUUUUAGUGGGGAAUAACACAGCGAAAGUUGUGCUAAUGCCGCAUACGUAAGUAAUUAGAAAGGGGGCGUCCGCAAGGAGCUCUCGCUGAAAGAAGAGCCUGCGGCCUAUUAGCUAGUUGGUGGGGUAAUAGCCUACCAAGGCAACGAUAGGUAUCCGGUCUGAGAGGAUGAUCGGACACACUGGAACUGAGACACGGUCCAGACUCCUACGGGAGGCAGCAGUAGGGAAUAUUGCGCAAUGGGGGAAACCCUGACGCAGCAACGCCGCGUCAGUGAGGAAGGUCUUCGGAUUGUAAACUCUUUUCUUAGGGAAAAAUGAUUAUGGGGUUAAUACCCUCAUGAAGUGAUGGU